GACGAACGCUGGCGGCGUGCUUAACACAUGCAAGUCGAACGAUGAAGCUGGAGCUUGCUCUGGCGGAUUAGUGGCGAACGGGUGAGUAACACGUGAGAAAUCUGCCCUUGACUCUGGGAUAACUGCGGGAAACUGUAGCUAAUACCGGAUACUUUCCCUGGUGGGCAUCCACUGGGGAAGAAAGAAUUUCGGUCAAGAAUGAUCUCGCGGCCUAUCAGCUUGUUGGUGAGGUAAUGGCUCACCAAGGCGACGACGGGUAGCCGGCCUGAGAGGGUGACCGGCCACACUGGGAGUGAGACACGGCCCAGGCUCCUACGGGAGGCAGCAGUGGGGAAGAUUGCACAAUGGGCGCAAGCCUGAUGCAGCAACGCCGCGUGAGGGAUGAAGGCCUUCGGGUUGUAAACCUCUUUUAGCAGGGAAGAAGCGAAAGUGGCGGUACCUGCAGAAAAAGCACCGGCUAACUACGUGCCAGCAGCCGCGGUAA
rnacentral:rRNA from 1 species